rnacentral:rRNA from 1 species
GACAGAGGUGCCGAGCGUUUAGGCGGAAUCACUGGGCUUAAAGCGUGUGUAGGCGGCGGCGUAAGUACCUUGUGAAAUCCCCACGGCUCAACCGUGGAACUGCUCGGUAUACUGCGUCGCUUGAGCCAGCUAGGGGGCGACCGGAACAAACGGUGGAGCGGUGAAAUGCGUAGAUAUCCGAAGGAACACCGGUGGCGAAAGCGGCGCGCUGGAUCUCUUUCUGACGCUGAGGCG